ACACAUGCUAACAGUGUUCCCCAGUCUCUGCAGCUCCGAUGGCUCCGCCGACGCGCAUGGCCGCGAUAGCAACAACCCCGUCGCCGCAGAGGUCUUCCACGUCAGAACCGUCCUCGACGGCAGCCAACAAAUGGUCUCCCGCCAGAGGCGUGGUGGAGGGGAAAUUUUUCCUAGUAGGAGGCUUGUUAGAUUAAAUUGGACGUUGGAUCUGCCCGGUUUCUCAUAUAAGGAGAUACUUCUAGAAGCCAUGAAUUCGAUUCGACGGCGAACGUCCGGAGGCUGAACAGCCUAAUUCCCGCGUAUACAGAUCGCAAUGGUGAGCGGAUACAGAUGGGACAGCUUCUCUUUGAUCUCAAUGGCCGCCUUGAUAGCUCGGUCACCUAUUGUUCAGCGCCCCGACCAUGAAUGGCAGUUGCGACACUGCGGAUCUACUCCCCUACGGCUCCUUCUUUCUGUGCUGCUAGAUAUGUCUCGUAAUAUCAGUUAUUAUAUGAUAUGUUCGAUUUUGGAUAUAACAGAAUAUUUGCUGGGCAAUUCCAGUUCUAGAAUCCCCCAUGCCUGUUUCCAGUGAACUUAUCUUCAGAAACAGCUUUCUUAUUAACCUGUUGUAUUUCAAAUUUUCUUCAAUAAAAAUGCUUACCAUCGAUCUAAUUAUAUGAUUAUAUUACAGGGAAGCUCUUUGUAUUUUGAUUUAUCUAUGACUUCCAUGUACUUGGUCAGUUGUCACCCCCAAGGCCCCAAGAUUUCUGCUCAUCCGGAUGGUAAUUCUGCAUCUGUAAGGAUCUUAUUCUAAUAAAUUCUCUAAAUUCCCAGUCCGAUAUGUUUCCAUGUGGCCUUCUAUGCAGGGUGUCUCCAUAGAGAGAACCAUCCAUGUAACCUUGUUGAUAGCCACUGGCUCACAAAUUAUAAUCUCACUUUGACAGCCUAGCCAAGGUUUGGUCAGAUCUUAUUGCGGAUCACUGUUUUUGCAUUUUCACUGAGUGUUCUGAUAUAAUAUUGAUUUUACCAGGUUUGUUAAGUGUCUGAUACAAUUUUAGCAAAAUUAUUGUAUCAUGUAGAUACCGUAAAGAGGUCAAAUAUGUUGUAUGGGUAUAUAACAUCGCUUAGCAUCUUAGCAGAUAUUAUCUUGUUUCUUGCCAUGGCAUUUGGUUCUCCAGAGUUACAUUUUUAAGCCACAUGCUUGACAUGUUUCUUUCUGGCUUAGCUGAUAUUUUAUACCUAACAGUAGGAAAUAUUUCAGCUAUUUUUUCCCUCUACAGAGCAGGUCUUUUGCGCUCCUUUCCCCAAGAAUUCCCAAAGAGAAAGAAGUGAUUAUUAGAUGGUGUGUGAGACAAGCUGGAAGCUGAAGUGCUUUUAUUAUCUGGUCAUUCCUUUUUAGUUAGUUAUACUUCUGUUUGGCAGAACAAAUGAUCCUAUUAAGCAGAACAAAAAAAAGCAGAUGAUUUCCCACAGUAGAAGUCAUUAGCUAUACAAUGCCACACAUAAUUAUUUGACCACUUUCCCAGUGAAGUUUCUUUCCCUGCUUGGCCCACUGAGAGGUAAGCUACAAGGGGUAAUUAGUUUUACUAUGGAAAAUGAUCUGAUUCCCCCAGGGGAUGCAUCCUUCGCAACCUCCCCCUUCCCUGUGCGCCGCGUGUCCUCUCGACGUCGUGCAGGGUCCACCAAGACUGCUUACCUUCCACGCUUUCUUCCUCCUCCACUCGUUCUUAUGUUUAAUCCUUUUUUCCCUCUUUCUCUUUCUCCAACUCUCCCUGCCCACCACCACACGCCAUGGCCAACGUGAUGGGAGACCGGGCGCUGGCGCCGGAGAUCCUGCCGUCGCUGGCCGGCUGCCGCCACGCUUUGCGGUCCACGGCGGCGCUGCGGGCGCUACCAACGUCGGGGCCGGCCACCGCUGCGCGGCGAGGCGGGCGAAACCACACCGGCAUGGGCCACCUUGAUGGGAGUUCGGGCGCCGGAGAUCCUGCCGCCGCGCUGCGGCCCACGGCGACACUGCUGCCGGUGCUACCAACAUCGGGGACGGCCGCCGUUGCGCGCCGCGACCAGCGUCGCCCUCCUCGUCCUCGCCGCCGCCGGUCAGGCCCACGGCGCGGUCGAGCUCCUCAGUGGCGGCAGCUGCGGCGUCCGGCCGGCGGAGGAGCUCCGUUAGGGCCCACUCCAUGGCCACCGCCCGAUAGUGUAUUUUUCCGCUACAAUAGUGUAUUUUUCCGCUACAAUUGUUAUAUUGUUUUGCUACUUUUAGUACAAAAAUUAUGCUGCGAUGUCUCCGAUGAGGUCGGAUUUGCUACAAUAGCAUAACUUUUUUGCUACUAGGUCUCCGGUGAAGUCUCCGACGAGGUCUACGGUGAGAUCUAGGUUGAUGUCUCCGGUGAGAUUGUUUUUGCUACAAUAUUAUAAUUUUUUUGCUAGGGGUCUCCGACGAGGUCUCCGGCUUGUCUCCGGUGAGGUCUCCGGCGAGCUUAACCUGUUUUACUUUAUUUUCGUGGGCAAACCCUUUUUUGCUAUACUGAAGUAAAAGCGUAAUUUUUUUUGCUACCCGAUAGCAAAAAGGACACGUGUCAGCAUAUGGACCAGGAGGCUGGGAAAUUUAGAUCGUGGGGGCGCCAAGUACUGUCCUUUUACUAUUCACUUAUUUUGUAGUUCAUUUCUUUCUACAUUGAAAGAUCGAGAAUCUGUUAGCUUUGGCUGAUUGACGAGUGUUACACUCAUUAAUUGUGUUAUCAAAUAUUAAAUGCUGCUCCACCGAUCCCACAUAUGGUGAUAAUUACUCAAUUUGAACCGGUGAAAGCUUACUAGCUCCUUUUGCUAGCAUGGUGCAGCAGCAGCAAAAGUCAGCUGUACUGGUGAUGCAAUAGAAAAACUGUUUUAAAUAGGCAAUACUAUCUCUAUAACGUGGGGUAUUUGAAUUUCAGAAGGGAAUUAUUAGUUGAGUACAAGAGAAAAACUAUAUGAUCAGUUCAGAGGUCACUACUUAGUGCUUCUAAGAACUGAAAAGUGUGCCCACUACCACAAGUCAGUGACUCGCUGCCAUCACUGUCAAGAUGCUUAGCUCUGAUUGGAAUCCCAAUGUCUCAUUGUGGACACACUGUUUGUACAACUGGUUUUUUACUAAUCUUAAUGCGAAAUAUAUGCAGCCAGACGUAAUGGCCCUCAACUUGAAGGGAAUGUUCUUCUAUGAAGGUCGACAAUUUCUGAUUAUCCUUAAAUAUCCUCCAGAUUUGCUCAUCUAUGUUAUUCAGACAGUAAAGUAUGCAUGAAGAAUGAUGCUAGAAGUGUGAGUUCCUGAACUUCUCCAUUUUUUCUUGUGCUGCCUAGAAAUGAAGUAAGUGCAAGGUGCCCAGUGCUCGUUCGUAUGUAAUUAUACUCGUGGCAAUACUUAACAUGUUUGGAAAUAGAAAAGGUUAGAUUGGAAUGAUGGCGCUCUUAGUCUUCAUGGCAGUCAAUAGGAGAUUAGCAGAUGGAGCGGCUUGUUGGCUCAAAUAUAGUUUUGUGUACUUCUCAGUUCAAGGCUGUAUGUCCUGAAUCUUUGGAAUGUUUUAAUCUUGAUGUUUGCGGUGUUGUUUUGAACAA